GUCUACAUAGAUUAUAUUAAAUCGUGACGCUGUUAACUUCAAGAUGGGAUUAUUUCCUGUAGUCG
rnacentral:tRNA from 1 species